UGGGGAAUUUUGGACAAUGGGGGCAACCCUGAUCCAGCAAUGCCGCGUGUGUGAAGAAGGCCUUCGGGUUGUAAAGCACUUUUGUCCGGAAAGAAAACUUCGAGGCUAAUACCCCUGGAGGAUGACGGUACCGGAAGAAUAAGCACCGGCUAACUACGUGCCAGCAGCCGCGGUAAUACGUAGGGUGCGAGCGUUAAUCGGAAUUACUGGGCGUAAAGCGUGCGCAGGCGGUGCUGUAAGACCGAUGUGAAAUCCCCGGGCUUAACCUGGGAACUGCAUUGGUGACUGCAGCGCUGGAGUAUGGCAGAGGGGGGUGGAAUUCCACGUGUAGCAGUGAAAUGCGUAGAGAUGUGGAGGAACACCGAUGGCGAAGGCAGCCCCCUGGGCCAAUACUGACGCUCAUGCACGAAAGCGUGGGGAGCAAACAGG
rnacentral:rRNA from 1 species